ensembl:lncRNA
UUUAGCUGUUUUGCAUUCCAAAUUCUGCCUGUACAAAUAACUAUGACCUCAACAUGUCAAAACUCAGGGUAUUGACAGCAUUGAAGGUAAUCAUGAGUGGGGUGUUCAUUUAGCCAGUAUGUCCAUUAUUACCAGUAUUUACACUUGCAGGCAGUGUGCUUUGCAGCAAAAAAUAGGUUGGAUUCCAACCAUUAUGGUCCUUAGCAUUAGAUAGUCAUAAGUAAUCACAAAAUUAGACCAGCAGUAAAUGUGAAAGCUGGAAUCCAUGCAGAAUCAUGGCAGAAUCAGGCAGAAUCCAUGCAGCUCGAGUGGGAGAUGGUAUAGGAAUUGAAUGCAUCCCGGGUGCCUCAGAUGGUAAGUCCAUGCAGAAUCAUGGCAGAAUCCAUGCAGCUGGAGUGGGAGAUGGUAUGGGAAUUGAAUGCGUCCCUGGUGCCUCAGAUGGUAAAGAAUCUGCUUGCAAUGCAAGAGUCGCUGGGUCUGAUCCCUGGGUCAGGAAGAUCCCUGUAGAAGGGAAUGGUAACCCACUCUAGUAUUCUUGCCUGGAAAAUUCCAUGGAAAGAGGAGCCUUUCUUGAGAAGCAGAGGACAGAUGAUGGGAGUAGCAGUUAGGUGAGCCAGGAGGAGAGUGUUGGAAAUGAAGGAAUAACCUGUACAUUACCACUUUAUAUUGGAGAAGGCGAUGGCACCCCACUCCAGUACUCUUGCCUGGAAAAUCCAAUAGACAGAGGAGCCUGGUGGGCUGCAGUCCAUGGGGUCGCUAAGAAUCAGACACGACUGAGCGACUUCACUUUCACUUUUCACUUUCAUGCAUUGGAGAAGGAAAUGGCAACCCACUCCAGUAUUCUUGCCUGGAGAAUCCCAGGGAUGGGGGAGCCCGGUGGGCUGCCAUCUCUGGGGUCGCACAGAGUUGGACACGACUGAAGCGACUUAGCAGCAGCAGCAGCAUGCAUUAGAAGAAUUGCAGGGUCCUGCAGAUACAGUAUGGAGGACCUUGUUCCAUCUUCCAAGCUGAGGCUGGAGAAGGAGAAGCCCAGGUGGCUCAGUGGUAAAGAACCCGCUUGCCAGUGCAGGAGAUGCAGAAGACGCAGGUUCGAUUGCUGGGUCAGGAAGAUCCCCUGGAUGAGGCAAUUGCAACCCACUCCAGUAUUCUUGCCUGGAAAAUCCCAUGGACAGAGGAUCCUGGCGGGCUACAGUCCAUGAGGUCGCAAAAGAGUCAGACAGAACUUAACAACUGAGAACACCCAAUCUUCAUUUAAACUUUAGAAUCAGUCAAGAUUUAGAAAAUUACAAAGAUUGCAUUAACCUUUCUGGGUUAAUUUUUGGAGUAUUGAUAUUGAGUCUUCUCAUCUGGGAAUAGUAACUAUUAUUUAUGAUUACAGUGUCUUCAUAUAAAUCUUACAUGUUUCUUGUUAGGUUUAUUUCUACUUAUGUUUUGCUGUAACAGAAUGGCUUUUUCUUUGAAUUAACUAUUGCUAUAGGACAAGAGAGACCUUUUUUAAACUGUAUUUCAUGUUACAUUAAUUCACUGUGUUUGAAUGAAUGAAUGAGUGAAUGAUAGUAUUUUAGUUGAUUUCCUUGGGUUUAUGGGUAGACAGUAUUUCCAAGUUUUUAACUACUGUAAUUAUAAGAAUUUUUAGCAAUUAAAAAAAUGCUUUGUAGGUUAAUAUUUUAAAAUAUUCUUUCUCUUGCAUACAUAUCAAUAUUAGAUAAAAUAGAAAAAGACAAAAUUACAAAGCUAUGAUCUUCUGCAGAAAUAAGAAAUUUUCUCUGUACUUAAAAAAUGUUUGAUUAAUGGAAAAUGUAAACUAUGUACAAAAGUAGACUCAAGCUGCAUAUUCCCAUCACCCAACUCCUGUUAUGACCUCAGCCAAUAUUAUUUCAGAUAUACCUCUACCUUCUUCCUACCCCACCCUCCAGUGGGUUAUGAUGAAGCAAAUUUCAGGCAUACUAUUUCAUCCCUAAAUGUUUGAGUGUGUAUUCCCUUUAAAAGGCACUAUUUUAGGGACUUCCCUGGUGGUCCAUUGGCUAAGACUCUGGGCUCCCAAUGAAGGGUGCCCAGGUUUGAUCCCUAAAGAACUAAGGACUAGGUCCUGCAUGCUGCAUCUAAGGCUCUGUGCAGCCAAAUAAAUAAUAAGUAACAUAUAUAUUUUAAAGUUCUAUGCUGGGAGUUCCCUGGCAGUCUAGUGGUUAAGACACUGCGCUUCCACUGCAGGGGCCACAGAUUCAAUCAUAACCAAAGUAAAACCGAAAAAAGCUAUAGACCAAAGGUAAUUGUAACACAUUUUACCAUAAGGAAGAUUCAUUUUAAAAAUUCUGUUAAACAAUUAGAAAAAUAUAAUCCAAAGGGGGAGAAGAAAAAGGGCAAGAUUGUAAAGUGCAAUACACUGACAUGGGAACCUAAGAGUUAAAAUGUUUUAGGGAAAUAUGAAUUCUUUCUUAAAACAAGAUAUCAUUUCUUAUUAACCAUGCUGAUAACAUUUCAACGGUGUGCUAAUAUCAAGUACAGUAAAAUGCAGAGUACUGGAAAUUCUGUUAGAUUUCUGGUGGGAGUAUUAGCUGUUUGGAAAGUCAUUUGGCAAUAUGUAAUGCAGGUGAAGGUGAUCCAACUUAACAAUUCAGACAUAGACAAGAUAUUCUCACAUAUGUAUUCAAGAUGUAUACAAGACUUUUGUGGAACUCUAAUAGCAAAAAUCAAAACCCCAAAAGAAGCCUCAAAUUCUAAAUAUUUAAUAGAGAUAAAUUAUAACAUGGUCUUGGGGCUUCCCAGGUGGCUCAGUGGUAAAGAAUCUGCCUCCAAUGAAGGUGACAUGGGUUCAGUCCCUGGGUCGGGAAGAUCCCUUGGAGCAGGAAAUGGCAAUCCCCUCCAGUAUUGUUGCCUGGAAAAUCCCAUGGACAGAGUAGCCCGGAGGGCUACAGUUCACGGGGUUGCAAAAGAGUCGACAUGACUCAGCAACUAAACAACUACAAUACCAAUAAGCAGUUAAAAUGAAUUAUCUAGAACUACAUAUAUACAUACAUACAGAAAACUGUAUACAAUAUGAUAUUAUGCCCACAAACUUUAUAAAUAUGCAGAAGAUAGUGUACAUUUGAAUAAUAGCUAUAUUAUUCACUUCUUGUUUUUGCUGACUAUAUAGAGCUUCUCCAUCCUUGGCUGCAAAGAAUAUAAUCUAUCUGAUUUCGGUGUCGACCAUCUGGUAAUGUCCGUGUAUAGAGUCUUCUCUUGUGUUGUUGGAAGAGGAUGUUUGUUAUGAUCAGUGCAUUCUCUUGGCAAAACUCUAUGAGCCUUUGCCCUGCUUCAUUCUGUAUUCCAAGGCCAAAUUUGCUUGUUACUCCAGGUGUUUCUUGACUUCCUACUUUUGCAUUACAGUCCCCUAUAAUGAAAAGGACAUCGUUUUUGGUUAUUAGUUCUAAAAGGUCUUGUAGGUCUUCAUAGAACUGUUCAACUUCAGCUUCUUCAGCACUACUGGUCAGGGCAUAGACUUGGAUUACCAUGAUGUUGAAUGGUUUGCCUUGGAAAUGAACAGAGAUCAUUCUGUCGCUUUUGAGAUUGCAUCCAAGUACUGCAUUUUGCACUCUUUUGUUGACUAUGAUGGCUACUCCAUUUCUUCUAAGGGAUUCUUGCCCACAGUAGUAGAUAUGAUGGUCAUCUGAGUUAAAUUCACCCAUUCCAGGCCAUUCCUAAAAUGUCAACAUUCACUCUUGCCAUCUCCUGUUUGACCACUUCCAAUUUGCCUUGAUUCAUGGACCUAACAUUCCAGGUUCCUAUGUAAUAUUAGUCUUUACAGCAUUGGACCUUGCUUCCAUCACCAGUUACAUCCACAACUGGGUGUUGUUUUUGCUUUGUCUCUGUCUUUUCAUUCUUUCUGGAGUUAUUUCUCCACUGAUCCCCAGUAGCAUAUUGGGCACCUACCGACCAGGGGAGUUCCUCUUUCAGUGUCCUAUCUUUUUGCCUUUUCAUACUGUUCAUGUAGACAUUUUCCAGUAGACAUUACUUUGCCAACAAAGGUCCAUCUAGUCAAGGCUAUGGUUUUUCCAGUAGUCAUGUAUGGAUGUGAGAGCUGGACUAUAAAAGGAAGCUGAGUGCCGAAGAAUUGAUGCUUUUGAACUGUGGUAUUGCAGAAGACUUUUGAGAGUCCCUUGGACUGCAAGGAAAUCCAACCAGUCCAUCCUAAAGGAGAUCAGUCCUGAGUGUUCACUGGAAGGACUGAUGUUGAAACUGAAACUCCAAUACUUUGGCCACCUGAUGCGAAGAACUGACUCAUUGGAAAAGACCCUGAUGCUAGGAAAGAUUGAAGGCGGGAGGAGAACGGGAUGACAGAGGAUGAGAUGGUUGGAUGGCAUCACCAACUCAAUGGACGUGAAUUUGGGUAAACUCUGGGAGUUGAUGAUGGACAGGGAAGCCUGGCGUCCAUGGGGUCGCAAAGAGUUGCACAUGACUGAGCGACUGAACUGAACUGAUUAUUUUCAUUCCAAUCCCAAAGAAAGGCAAUGCCAAAGAAUGCUCAAACUACCACACAAUUGCACGCAUCUCACACACUAGUAAAGUAAUGCUCAAAAUUCUCCAAGCCAGUCUUCAGCAAUACGUGAACCAUGAACUUCCAGAUGUUCAAGCUGGUUUUAGAAAAGAGAGAGGAACCAGAGAUCAAAUUGCUAACGGAUAUCCACUGGAUCAUGGAAAAAGCAAGAGAGUUCCAGAAAAACAUCUAUUUCUGCUUUAUUGACUAUGCCAAAGCCUUUGACUGUGUGAUCACAAUAAACUGGAAAAUUCUGAAAGAGAUGGGAAUACCA